AAACGGUCUCUAAUACCCCUUAAGGGGGCUAAACCAAAGUGGGGGACCCUCGGGCCUCAUGCCAUCACAUGUGCCCAGAUGGGAUUAUUUAUUAGGUGGGGUAACGCCUCACCUAGGCGACAAUCCCCAGCUGGUCUGAGAGGAUGACCCGACACACUGUAACUCAGACACGGUGCAGACUCCUACGGGAGGCAGCAGUGGGGAAUAUUGUACAAUGUGCGCAAGCCUGAUGCAACCAUGCCGCGUGUGUGAAAAAGGCCUUCGGGUUGUAAAGCACUUUCAGCGGGGAGGAAGGCGUUCAGGAUAAAAACCUUGGCAAUUGACGUUACCC
rnacentral:rRNA from 1 species